rnacentral:rRNA from 1 species
UUGACCUUUGACCUCAAAUCGG